AAUCACAGCAAGCCAGAAAAAAGUGAGAGAAGAUAACUGGAAUUCUAGAAUCCUGACUUCAGUUGAAAUACAUUUGAGUUCCAUAUGUUGAGAUUCGAGGUCCCCCAAAUCUGCUCAUAUGUGUCAAUUGUCAUGAAACCAGUGCAGAAAGUCUUUCAUCCCCGAAGAGCAGAAAGGGACGCUGAUUAUGAAAACUCAGAAUCCUUUGGACAAUAUUGCACACACUCAGAAGGCAAGAGGAAUCCAGAGGAAUGUAAGAACUGUUGUACUUAAAGAUGACAUCACACUAGGUCAUGUCAUCACACCACAGUUCUGACUUCUUGGAAGAAGGUGUAGAAAGUAUGUGAGACGAAAUGAACUAAAGAGAAAUCGAGCAUCUCAGGACUCCACCCGAUCCCGGAGGAGUCAGCAUCACAUCUAUAAAGAUUAAACCCUUCUCCGUGUUUCUCUCCUCUCCAACAGGCAACUCAGCUGCCAUCAGUACAACGCCAGUGUUUUUCUUUGCUAGUUCAUUUGGAAAAGUGGCUCAGCUAACUGAGAAACAUUUAAUGAAUUUUACUGGUAUUAAAAUAAAGGUGAUCGCUUUGUAGCAACAA